GCCGCGGUGGUGGAACUGGUAUACACGUGGGUCUCAAAAACCCAUGGACUUUGGUCCUUGAGGGUUCGACUCCCUCCCGCGGCACAA
rnacentral:tRNA from 1 species